UACGAAGGGGGCUAGCGUUGUUCGGAAUCACUGGGCGUAAAGCGCACGUAGGCGGAUUUUUAAGUCAGGGGUGAAAUCCCGAGGCUCAACCUCGGAACUGCCUUUGAUACUGGAGAUCUUGAGUCCGGAAGAGGUAAGUGGAACUGCGAGUGUAGAGGUGAAAUUCGUAGAUAUUCGGAGGAACACCAGUGGCGAAGGCGGCUCACUGGCUCGGUACUGACGCUGAGGUGCGAAAGCGUGGGGAGCAAACAGGG
rnacentral:rRNA from 1 species